AAGCAUUCUCAGCUGCAACGUCAACUGUAGCGAGCUACUUGGAAGAGAAAGCGAGGGAGAAAACGGACCAUUAACUUAUAUCUUAUGUCAACUUAGCCAAGUGUAAUAUUUUGUCACAAGAUAAUGGUUCAAUUCUUGGUUCGGUGAAUGCCUGCAGUGCGCCGGCUUGGGUAGUAAGGCAUUUCAAUGGUUAGCUUCCGAGUAGCCUCCCCAUCAUCAUUAUCGUUGCUUGAUAUAAUGCAGCUCCAGUCCACGGCCACCAGGAAAUAAAAUGUCGAGAAAAAAAAGUUAAAUGUUUAUAAUAACAUGGUUAAUAUUCUAUUUUAAAACUGUACCCGUGAAGGUCUGCUAUGACAGGUAGUUUCCCUCUAUGUCACGUGAACGACAUCCUGCAUACUACAUCUUUGUUAUCAUUAUUUUAUCACAUUCAAGAAUAUUUUCCAGUGUUGUGAAGACAAAUUCAAAAGCGUGACAUCCACAAAAACUAAAAGGUCCUUCUCAACAAGUCAAAUUCAUUGUAGUUAUUCUGGUAUUUAGCCGGCCUUGGUUCAUCUUCUAAGUAUAUUGGCAAAGACUCCUUCAAGAGGGAAAAUAAAUGGAGACGGUGGCCUCCAAAAACUAAUCAUCUUGUGAUUGUUGAGGAACUCACGCUACAAUGGCGAGAGGAAAUAUUUUCCCCAUAGCCUACAAGAAUUAAAUGCUGCUGACUCAGCAGCUCUACCGUUGGAGGAAAUGUGAAGAAAAGACCUCUUUGUCAUAUGGUGACUACAGUGGCUUUGAGAAAGUCAGUGUUUUCUUGGGGCCGUUAUUUUAUUUUUUACAAGCAGAGUGUUUGAACUCAUUGUGUGCUUCUUGUUGGUCACAAGAAAAAAAUCAAUUUUAAAGUCCAUUGUCAAUCUACAUAUGCACAGGUCUUUGCUUUUAGCCACUUAUUGUUUUCCAAAAGAAAUAUAAGUGGCAAAUGUGCAUAAAAUUUGGGACUAUUUGUAGUGCAACCCAAAUUUCCUAGAAAAAUAUGCCUCGAGGGCCAAAAAGUAACUUGAUAUCUUAUCUUAUCUUAAAAUCUUGCAAGGCCUGAGCUCAGUAAGGAAUACACUACCACGUAUCGUCCUAACUUUGGAAUGAAAUGUUUUUCUAUGAUGCACCGAUUGAAUACUUUUGUCACAAGUUUCACACAUCCUAUCAGUGCCUGUUAUGAGCAUCCUCUGGACUGGUGCUCUGUUGGUGCUUUUCUAUUUGAGACUCAUCGCCUGCCCCUCUGCUUUAUCGAAAGACACGAUUGCAGAUUCUCUGUAAUGCCUGCCAUGGUCUGUUCAUUCUAAGACCUCUCAAUGUUGGUACGUGAGAGGCCAGUGCAGUGAGCUGGACUGAGAGGUCUUUCACAUACAAGUCCCGUUUCCCAGUUUUCAUUGCUCCCCAGCAAAUGGUUUGUUUGCAUUCCUUAGCGUAUUUUACUUUCCUGUUGGAAUUAGGCAACUAGGGUCAUGUUACCUUUUUGUUAUUCUUUCUGAAGACACCAAGACUACACAUUGCCGUCCCUGUUCACAGGUCUCGGCCUUAAUUACAAAAAAAAAGAA